UACUUGCUCCACCGCCAGGAUCACUGCCUCCCCUUUCUAACGAGAUGGGUGCGCCGCAGCCGCAACGUUACCUGGGUCACCACCACCACCACCAUGUGCACGCACCGCCGCCGCCACCCAAGAUGAAUGCGGGGAAAAAGUCUCUCUAAAGCAGAAUAUUCAAGUCACAUCCCAUCAGUACAACACUAAGAGGAUCUGAAAUUUUCAGCAAGUAUGAGAUUUGUCUCGCUGGAUUUACUUCGUGGGAGAGCUCUCAUACAUGGUAAUAUCCUUUGCCAACAGGUCAGAGAUACUCACUGCACAAUGAUAAAGCUUAUGUUUGCAUUUCACUCAAAUUAUAUACAUUGAAAUGUGUAAUCAAACAUGCGAAAAUUGUAGCACUAUGUUUCAUUGUAAUAAUGUUCUGCUAUCAUUUUUCUUUAAA